rnacentral:rRNA from 1 species
GACGAACGCUGGCGGCGUGCCUAAUACAUGCAAGUAGAACGCAGUUGCGAACGGGUGAGUAACGCGUAGGUAACUGCCUGGUAGCGGGGGAUAACUAUAGGAAACGAUAGCUAAUACCGCAUACUACCAGAUGGACCUGCGUUGUAUUAGCUAGUUGGUGAGGUAACGGCUCACCAAGGCAACGAUACAUAGCCGACCUGAGAGGGGGAUCGGCCAAACUGGGAAUGAGACACGGCCCAGACUCCUACGGGAGGCAGCAGGAGGGAAUCUUCGGCAAUGGGGGGAACCCUGACCGAGCAACGCCGCGUGAGUGAAGAAGGUUUUCGGAUCGUAAAGCUCUGGUGUUAAGGAAGCGGUACUUAACCAGAAAGGGACGGCUAACUACGUGCCAGCAGCCGCGGUAAUAC